rnacentral:lncRNA from 10 species
UGAGUUCGCUGACGUUACUCUCAAAAUACUUUCAGGGAGAAUGUGGUUUGUUUUCACUGCAUGAAGUCACUUCGGCCUUCUUCCCUGUCUGUGGGCAAGUUCAGGGUAGAAACUACCAGGUACUCUGAGAACUACGCCAUGGACUUCCCUGCUCAGAGAAGAACAAUCUGCUUCUGACGUUUCACUUUGGUUGUAAAGGACUUCAGGGAUUAUCUCAGCCUCUUCAAACCAAAAUUCCUCUGAAAUGCUUAAAUUGGCCCAGAUAGGGUCAGGUCUGGAAUAAUCAGUUCAGCUUAUGCUGAAAUACUUUAUUUCCAUCCUGCCUGCUUCCACAUCCACUUUUCUGAGCAUUAUUUCCUCCAGAACAAUUUAGAGAUCUCUGAGGAGCUGAUUAGAUGAUGAUGAGGUGAGCAUGCUCCCACCACAUGGCCACAAGGAUUGAUAGAGAUCAAGGACUGAGAGGUUUGGCCCCAAGCUUGACUGAGGAUGAUGUCGGGGAUAUUCCCAAGACCCUCUCUCAGACACAGAUGGUCUGACCCUUUAUUGGUCAUAAGGAUGAAGUGGAAGUUAAUGAGACUCUCAGCUUGGAACUCCCUGGAUGUAAGAUUAUAGCAUAUCUGUUUAUCCAAAGAAUUACGUGUGUCAGAGCAGUAGGUCUUCACAAAUUCAUUAGGUUUAUAACAAUCAACCAUAGUUACAGGAGAAAGAUGCUGUGAGCUCCCUUUAUACCCCUGUUCAGUAUCUGUACAAUCUUACCCUCUAAACGUAUUCCUUCUGUCUCACCUUAAUCAUGUAUUGCUUAUCUAUUUCCUCACAACAGUCUACCUCAAAAUUUGUGGCCUACAAUGGCAACCAUGUAAACCAUGUAUUUGCUUAUGCUUCUGUAAUUUGGACCAGGUUCAGCUGGGCAGUUCCUCUGCCAGUCUCACCCGAGGUCAUGUUCACUGCAGUCAGUUGGCAGGUGAAGGUGUGGGGAGUUGGAGAAAGACUCACUGGUCCCAGCCAGCCUCAAUCACAUGUGUUGGGCCUCAGUGGAGAUGACUGGAACUACUGCGAUGAGUAGGACACUCUCUCCAUGUGAUCACUCAUCCUCAAGGAGACCAGUCUGGGUUUUCUUAAGCCUGGGAGUCACAGGGCAUCAAGAAGGUGAAAGCAGACACUCAGGGCUCAAUAUCACUUCUGCCACAUUCCAUUGAUCAAAGCACAUCAUAGUGCCAGCCAAAAUUCAAGGGGCAGAGGAAAUAGACUCUGCCUUUUAUUGGAUGACAAAUUAACAUUGCAAAGAAGCAUGUAUCUAGGAAUGGAAGAAAUUUCUGGGGCCAUCCUCAUAAUAUAUCACAGUCACUAAAGCUGCAUAUUUAUAAAUUAUUCCUUUCACCCUUUAGAAAUGGCCUGUUCCUUAUUGGCAAGGGCAGAUGGAGACUCCAAUUGGGAUGACUCAUUUAAGUGGGGCUAUAGAAUGAACAUUUUUAUGGAAUGUCAACUGUGUGUAAGCAUUGUAUACAUAUAAUCCUAUUUAAUUCUCAAAACAACUUCAUGAUAGGUCUUACCUCCAUUUUAUUACUAAGAAAGCUGAUGUUCAGGGUGAGUUAAUGAAUUACUGAACGUAACUCAGUUGUCAUGGAGGGAGUUGAGGAUUUCUUCACCUGUAAAAUGGGAAUCAUAAUACUUACCACCAGCAUAGUUGGUAGGAUGAAAUUAAGUGCUUUGUGUGGAAGUGGCUGGUAAACCCCAAAGCACUGUACAAAUGUUAAUUUUCAUUUUCAUUGAGCCAAGCAGACAUUUUGAGGGGAGGAGUGUUGUCUAGGAAGGCGCCAGAGUCAUCUGAGCCAGACACCAACUGUUGUGUGUCUCUCAGCUGCUAUUUACUUUGGCUUCAGACCAAAUCCUUCAUGCAAUGCCUUUGGCGGUCACAGACGAGAAAGAGCCCUGUGGGCCAGGCUGGCAAGCCAGGACAUGCUACAGGUGAAGACAGACACGCUUCCAUUGGAAAAAGGAAGAAACUGAAACAAAGCUCUAAGUGCCUUGCUGCUAUCCUCAACUACUCCGGUUGCAAGGAUUUUUAAUAUUUCACUCAAGGUCACAUACACAACCUUGAAUUGCUCUGAACCUACUUUCUCCCAACUCUUCUUUUCACUAAAUCUCAUCCCAAUUCUUUCCAAACCUCAUUCUCUCAUCAUUAUCCCAUCUGCAUCUUCAAUCUAUACACCCAAUGUUUCCUCCCCCUCCUUGUCUUAUUUGGAUUCUGUAAGACCUAAUUCUUACAGGGACCAGGAGGGAGGGUCAGCCUUUUGCAAAGUCAGCCUUCACCAGUCUUCUCUUUGCACAUCUACCAUCUACCUAAACUAAGAUCUCUUCCUCCUUUGAGGUUUAGGCUGCUCAGAUACACCAUGUUCUUUUUGCCUGCCUUGUUGCUGUCAUCUGUUGACCUCCCAUCAGUCACUACCAUCCUUCUUUGGGAGUUCUGGCAUCUCACUCAUAGCCUACCUGCCGUCACCAAGGACAACUUCAACACUCAUUGAACAUCCUGGACUCAGAAUUCCUCAACUUUUACAACCCCAUUAUGCUUCAUCCAAGACAGCUGAAUACCAUCCAUCCACCGGUGAAAAAGGCUGCAU